UACGUAGGGGGCAAGCGUUGUCCGGAUUUAUUGGGCGUAAAGAGCGUGUAGGCGGCCAGGUAGGUCCGCUGUGAAAACUCGAGGCUUAACCUCGAGAUGUCGGUGGAAACCAUCUGGCUAGAGUCCGGAAGAGGAGAGUGGAAUUCCUGGUGUAGCGGUGAAAUGCGCAGAUAUCGGGAAGAACACCCGUGGCGAAGGCGGCUCUCUGGGACGGUACUGACGCUGAGACGCGAAAGCGUGGGGAGCGAACAGG
rnacentral:rRNA from 1 species